rnacentral:rRNA from 1 species
GAUCCUGGCUCAGGAUGAACGCUGGCGGCGUGCUUAACACAUGCAAGUCGAACGAGAAAUGAAGACGGAAACCUUCGGGCGGAAGGCUUCAUUUCGAGUGGCGGACGGGUGAGUAACGCGUGGGUAACCUGCCUCAUACAGGGGGAUAACAGUUGGAAACGACUGUUAAUACCGCAUAAGACCACAGCACCGCAUGGUGCGGGGGUAAAAACUCCGGUGGUAUGAGAUGGACCCGCGUUCGAUUAGCCAGUUGGCGGGGUAACGGCCCACCAAAGCGACGAUCGAUAGCCGAUCUGAGAGGAUGACCGGCCACAUUGGGACUGAGACACGGCCCAAACUCCUACGGGAGGCAGCAGUGGGGAAUAUUGCACAAUGGGGGAAACCCUGAUGCAGCGACGCCGCGUGAGUGAAGAAGUACUUCGGUAUGUAAAGCUCUAUCAGCAGGGAAGAAAAUGACGGUACCUGAGUAAGAAGCCCCGGCUAACUACGUGCCAGCAGCCGCGGUAAUACGUAGGGGGCAAGCGUUAUCCGGAUUUACUGGGUGUAAAGGGAGCGCAGACGGUUGCGCAAGUCUGAAGUGAAAUCCCGAGGCUUAACCACGGGACUGCUUUGGAAACUGUGCGACUUGAGUAUCGGAGGGGCAGGCGGAAUUCCUAGUGUAGCGGUGAAAUGCGUAGAUAUUAGGAAGAACACCGGUGGCGAAGGCGGCCUGCUGGACGAAAACUGACGUUGAGGCUCGAAGGCGUGGGGAGCAAACAGGAUUAGAUACCCUGGUAGUCCACGCGGUAAACGAUGAAUACUAGGUGUUGGUGCCCCAAGGGCAUCGGUGCCGUCGCAAACGCAAUAAGUAUUCCACCUGGGGAGUACGUUCGCAAGAAUGAAACUCAAAGGAAUUGACG